UGUCAUUGGAUUAGACGCUAA
rnacentral:piRNA from 1 species